GAUGAAGAACGUAGCGAAAUGCGAUAAGUAAUGCGAAUUGCAGAAUUCAGUGAGUCAUCGAAUCUUUGAACGCACAUUGCGCCCUGUGGUAUUCCGCAGGGCAUGCCUGUUCGAGCGUCAUUUCAACCCUCAAGCCCCGCUUGGUGUUGGGCCCCGCCCGCCGUGGCCGGCCCUAAAGACAGUGGCGGCGCCGCCUGGCCCUCAGCGUAGUACAGCUCUCGCUCCAGGGUCCGGCGGCCGCCUGCCAGAACCCCCCCAACUCUGUGGUUGACCUCGGAUCAGGUAGGAAGACCCGCUGAACUUAAGCAUAUCAAUAAGCGGAGGA
rnacentral:misc_RNA from 1 species